CCCGGGUCUUGUACACACCGCCCGUCACACCAUGGGAGUGGGUUUCACCAGAAGUAGGUAGUCUAACCGCAAGGAGGAGCCGUCGAAGGUGGGAUUGGUGAUUAGGACU
rnacentral:rRNA from 1 species